AGGCUGAGACGCCAUCCUUCGCACAUCUGCAACCUCCGUUCACCUACAAAGAAACAAGAGAAGCCAGCCAAGGGAAGAGAGGAGAUCAUCAGGGGUACGAAGUUAGCAAUAGCACAGAAAUUCAGCUACUAUAGUGGCCUACUUUCUUCCCCCAUCAGCACCAGCUUCAUCCUUCCUGUCACAGCAACCGUACUAAGGAAGCUCCAAGUGGUAACUGAGUAAACUUAUUGUAGUUUAUUUACAAUGAAUACCUUUGUGCUUUGCCGCAUAUAUAUGAUCAUUGUUGAAUAUNUAAAGCUGCUAGAAUGCCUUUGUACUUUAGUAGUGCUUGUGUAUGUUUUACUACGCAUAUAUGUUUGCCAUUGAANGUCCGGCACGCCGCAUACAUAUCCUGGUUAUCUUUCCCUAUCCAUUCUCGCUACUGCAUACUGUUUGUCACCCAUA
rnacentral:lncRNA from 1 species